rnacentral:rRNA from 1 species
CCUGGUUGAUCCUGCCAGUAGCAUAUGCUUGUCUCAAAGAUUAAGCCAUGCACGUGUAAGUACACACGGCCGGUACAGUGAAACUGCGAAUGGCUCAUCAAAUCAGUAAUGGUUCCUUUAAUCGCUCUAUCCGUUACUUGGAUAACUGUGGUAAUUCUAGAGCUAAUGCAUGCCGACGACCACUGACCACCCGGGAUGCGUGCAUUUAUCAGACCAAGACCAAUCCAGGCUCACCCGGCCGCUUUGGUGACUCUAGAUAACCUUGGACCGAUCGCAUGUCCCGUGACGGCGACGAUGCAUUCGGAUGUCUGCCUUAUCAACUUUCCAUGGUACUUUCUGUGCCUACCAUGGUGACCACGGGUAAUGGGGAAUCGGGGUUUGAUUCCGGAGAGGGAGCCUGAGAAACAGCUACCACAUCCAAGGAAGGCAACAGGCGCGCAAAUUACCCACUCCCGACAUGUAGAGGUAGUGACGAAAAAUAACAAUACAGGACUCUUUCGAGGCCCUGUAAUUGGAAUGAGUACACUUUAAAUCCUUCAACGAGGAUCCAUUGGAGGGCAAGUCUGGUGCCAGCAGCCGCGGUAAUUCCAUCUCCAAUAGCAUAUAUCAAAGUUGCUGCAGUUAAAAAGCUUGUAGUUGGAUCUUGGGAUCACAAUGGCGGUCUGCCGCGAGGCGAGCUACCGCCUGUCCCAGCCCCUGCCUUUCGGCGCCCCCUUGAUGCUCUUAACUGAGUGUCCUGGGGUUCCGAAGCGUUUACUUUGAAAAAAUUAGUGUUCAAAGCAGGCCGGUCGCCUGAAUACUUCAGCUAGGAAUAAUGGAAUAGUACUCGGUUCUAUCUUGUUGGUUUUCGGAACUGGGACCAUGAUUAAGAGGGACGGCCGGGGGCAUUCGUAUUGUGCUGCUAGAGGUGAAAUUCUUGGACCGGUGCAAGACGAACCAAAGCGAAAGCAUUUUCCAAGAAUGUUUUCAUUAAUCAAGAACAAAAGUCAGAGGUUCGAAGACGAUCAGAUACUGUCGUAGUUCCGAUUAUAAACGAUGCAGACUAGCGAUCCGGCUGCGUUAUUCCCUUGACCCGCUGAGCAGCUUCCGUGAAACCAAAAUCUUUGGGUUCCAGGGUGAGUAUUGUUGCAAAGAAAGGAACUGACGGUAGGGCACCACCAGGAGUGCAGCCUGCGGCUUAAUUUGAAUCAACAUGGGAAUCCUCGCCCGGCCCGGACACAGAAAGGAUUGACAGAUUGAUAGCUCUUUCGAAGGGAUUGUGUCCUCCGACGUAUUCCACAUCUGUGACAGGUUAUCACCACAGCUGUGCUGCUUGGGAUAAUUUUCGGCGUCUGCGUCGAUGAUGUUGAUACGCUGUCCCUCGAGGGCCUCUGUCGAGAGCCGACGUCACCGAAUGUUAUACGUAGGACGCACGACACCCAUAGCCUCAGUUCCGUUUUUUCCACGAACGUGUUCGCUUCGGAAUCUCGGCGUGCCUCGGUUCUUCUCCUGAUUGAAUCGGUUCUUCGAACUUGAUUGUUUGUGAAGUAUCAUGUCUUCGUCUUCUACCCCGUGGUCGGGCUUCAAGAAGUGUCGGGCCUCGGUUCCAAGAUGUCGCUUACGGACCCGGACGACAUCUGCCUCUGGUGCCUCGGCAAGGACCACGCCACCGAUGACUGUGAUGAAUGCCAGUCUGACGUCGAAGGCCUUGCGGGAGCGUAAGAAGAAGCUGACUGUAGGUAGGGUUUCCAAAC